GAAAUAAGAAGUUUCAAAAAAAAGCUGCUAACUUUUUCAUUUAAUGGUUAAAUUCCAUUUUUAUUUCU
rnacentral:tRNA from 1 species